UACGUAGGGGGCAAGCGUUGUCCGGAAUCAUUGGGCGUAAAGCGCGUGUAGGCGGCUUAGUAAGUCUGCUCUGAAAGCCCGGGGCUCAACCCUGGGAGGCGGGUGGAUACUGCUGAGCUUGAGUCCGGAAGAGGCGAGUGGAAUUCCAGGUGUAGCGGUGAAAUGCGUAGAUAUCUGGAGGAACACCGGUGGCGAAGGCGGCAUCCUGGACCGGCAUUGACGCUGAGGCGCGAAAGCCAGGGGAGCAAACGGG
rnacentral:rRNA from 1 species